CGCGGGAUAAAGUAACGGAAACUUACAGGCCUCCUUAGCCUGGAACGGUGGUUCGAAUCCGCCUCCCGCUA
rnacentral:tRNA from 2 species